GCGAUAAUAACUCAGCUGGGAGAGUGUCAGACUGAAGCUAUAACUUCAAUCUUUGAAAUCUGAAAGUCCUGUGUUCAAUCCACAGUUGUCGCA